rnacentral:tRNA from 1 species
GAGAGGCGCUUGCAGCACCGAAAACUGCUAAUUUUCGCCUCCUCGGUUGAAUUCCGAGGGCCCCUCG